GCCCGAGAAACUGACUUGGGGGCCCAAAUACCUUGGGGACCCAUGCGGAGGGAGCACCGCCUUCGCCCCGCCGCGGCAUCCCCGCUCCGGGCCCCUGCCCCACACCCGCCACUCCGCGCCGCUGGCGCUCGGGGAGCACUUGUCCGGGGAAAGCUGGGAACCGGAAACGCGCCCCGGCGCGGGCCCCCCGCCCGCCCGCACGCACGCCGGUCUACCGGCUCUAUGGCCCUUUAAGGCGGAUGUUUCCGCCGUCGACCUGGGGGCGGGGAAAGCGUCGAGCGCACCAGGGCCGCCUCCGGAGCCGUAAGUGGAGGCGAGGGGGAGCCGCGGACCCUAGCGUGUGGCGGGCCAGCGUCUCUGGAGGGGGGCCCCUCUCCAAGGUCCCGCCCCUACCUCGCCUGUUCCCGCAGCUCCGGGGCCCGCGGAAAGGAACUUUGAGCGAGCAGAGAGCUGGGCGCGGGCGAGAUGGCCCUGGUGCCCUAUGAAGAGACCGCGGAAAUGGGGCUGCAGAGAUUUCACAAGCCUGUUGCCACCUUCUCCUUGGCAAACCACACGAUACAGAUCCGGCAGGACUGGAAGCAACUGGGAGUCGCAGCGGUGGUUUGGGACGCGGCUGUCAUUCUGGCCACGUAUCUGGAGAUGGGAGCUGUGGAGCUCAGGGGCUGCUCUGCCGUGGAGCUGGGUGCUGGCACGGGGCUGGUGGGCAUGGUGGCUGCCCUGCUGGAAAAGCAGCAGCCAGCAAAGUCUACAAAAACAGAAGAAAAAAAGAAAAAUCAGUGUUUAUCCAGGACUGUUCAGAGUAAGAAGUGCUCUUAUUGUGUACAGUUAGCUUCUACUUAUUUGAGAGAAGCAACUCAAGAUGAAGAGAAGUACUCUGUAUGGUCCUGAAUCCAGCAGCUCAUUGGCCUUCCGAUAUCUCUUCAUCUGCAACUACAUAAGGAUGGUUGUUCCUAGCAAUUUUGGAAGAAGCCCUCUGCUACAUAUAGACACAUUUCAAAGUUGGCAUUCUACAAUUUUUAUUAAGCAAAACUUCAAGGUAAAGACCUGUGCAUUUCUGGAAAAGUAUCCUUGGAUUGAGAAGUAAUAAAGGCAUAAUCACACCAGCAGAGAAGAAUGGGAAAGGAGAUAACAGUAAGAGUUUUGGAGGCUGGAAAUGGAUGAAUGGUAAUGAAUUUGGAAAACCUCAGAAGGCCAACUCAUGAGGUGGAGGCAGGGACAGACUGAUUUCUGCCACAAAGUCCUUAAGAGGCUCAGGAUCUAAGGCAGCCCAGAAGGUAGAGUGAAAGGAGAAGCUGAAAAUAAGGAAGGCUGAUUGAAGGUCUUUGAAAAGCAAUUGGAUCCUCUCUUCAACUCUCUGUGGAAGAAUAACUAAUCUAUACCCUAUGCUGACAGAAAAAUGGAGGUUUAUUUUCUGGAUAGAAGGUUCCUUGACUGCCUAACACCAGGCACUGCUGAGGUGGGGUACUAAGUCCCAGUCCUCUUCCCUCGUCUGGCUCAAAGGUCUUUACCUAUAAGCAGAUUAGUAAACCUUUUCUCUGCCAACCUGACCAACACUGAAGGGAGAAGAAAAGACUUAAGAGAUAAUGACAGUAGGAUGCCACAAUCAUCUUACCGUGAAGCUCACAACUCAUAGAUGUUAGGCCCCAAACAGAUCCACAGAACUUCCAAUACAGGUUUUUGGUUCCCUACUUUCAAAUGUAGGCAGAAAACCUCGAGUUAUGAAAUAUUCAAGGAAAUCUUCUGAUAGGAAAGAUGGUGACCAAAACAGAUAGAAGGGAGAAAAGGUACAUAGAAGAAAAUCUACGUGGAGAGAAGAAAACUUAAAACUUAAUUAAUAUUAUCAGAGGUAAGAGAAAAUACUGCCUUUGUGAAACAUAAAGAACAUGCUAUUAAAACACAAAAGGACUAUUCAGAAACAAAGGGAACUCUUGGAAACAUGACAGCAGAAAUAAAAAAAAUCUGACAGAUGGGUUGAAAUGUGAAGUUGAGAAAAUCUCCCAGAAAGACAAAGAGACAGAAAACAGGAGAGAAAAGAUGAGAAAAUCAGAGAAACAGUCCUAUAGGUAUAAUAUCUGGAUCACAAGAAUCCUAGAGAGAAAAAAGAAGAAAAAAAAAAUCAUCAACCAAAUAAAGAAAUUGCCCAGAACUGAAGACCCGAGAUUCCACUAAAAAAAAAAAAGCCCACUGAAUACAACUGCACAAUGGAUGAAAACUGAUACAAACCAAGGCCUUGAUGAUGAAAUACUGAAGCACUGCAGAGAUUUUUACAAGAUAACAGAGAUACAAAGUAAGAAAUGGAUUUAGUCUUUUCAAACAGAAACACUAGAAGUUGACUGUGGAUCAAUGCCUUCAAAAUUUGAAAGAAAAAUGAUUUCUUUACCUAGUCAAACUUGCUCAAGGGACCACUGGAAACAAAAACUCCACAAGAGAAAGACAGUAGGAAGAAAGGAAUUUCCAGGAUGACAUUAUAUAGUGGACGUGGAGGAUAACCAGACCAGAAAAUGAUGUCCCAAGAGAUAGAUAUGUUGAAGGUUGUCACCACCAAGAUCCCUGCUGGUAUUAUAUCUUCUUUUUACCAGAGGGCUGAAUGUUUGGAUGAGCCCAGAUUCUUAUCUGUGCACAUUUGCCUUGACCAUGUGCUAAUGAAGUCCUGAUGCUCUUACCUUUAUUCCUGCACCUGCUUCAUCUUGAGUACUUUUACUUCAUCCCUAAAUGUAUUCUGCUUUGCCUUACACCUGAGGGCUGGAGGUGGGUCCAGGUGAUCUUAGGAGAAAACACAAAGCAGCCCACCGCUUCUGACUACUUUCCUGCUGGAGGUCUAGUAUUUGGCCCAUAUUUUAGCUCAGUGUGGUAACCACCUGUGGUUAGCCCUCUGUAUCCCAAGACCCAUUCUUGCUCAUGACUCCUCUAGGAGAGGUUUUAAACUCUUUGGGAAGCUGAAGCUCAACAUACCAGAGCCUUGGCUAGGAUUAUUUUCCUUUGGGAGCUUUCAUCUGAAAGAGGCAAUAUCACAUUUUCUUACCUAGCAGGUUAUUGUUUGCUAUUUGGUUUUUAUAUUAACCACCUUUCUCACUCAUAUGUAUGCCAACAAUUGUUAAUAAAACAUCUGAGAAAAAAUACACAAGAACAAAAAUGAGAAUAUAACCUUAGAAUGCUUAAGACAAAGACAAAAUGAAAGAAUCAUGAAUCAUAUUUAAAAUAUACAGGGACAAAAACUACUAUCAUCCUUGAAAUUUACUUAUGUGUCAAUUUAUUUGCUUAUCCUAUUUUUUAGUUUAAGCACAUGUAAAUUUAGCCUUUCAGAUUAUCUGCAUUCCCAUGCUCCCAAAUAAAUCUGUAUGACAUGAAAAAAAGCAGUUAUCAUACUAGGUUUUCUUCCUUUGUUUAAGAGACAAUCUACCCAUCAGUUUAAAUGUAAUUAUUUCUGAAUC